GACGAACGCUGGCGGCAUGCCUAAUACAUGCAAGUCGAGCGAACAGAUGAAGUGCUUGCACUUCUGACGUUAGCGGCGAACGGGUGAGUAACACGUAAGGAAUCUACCUAUAAGCGGGGGAUAACAUUCGGAAACGGGUGCUAAUACCACAUAAUAUCUUCUUCCGCAUGGAAGAAGAUUGAAAGACGUCUCUGCUGUCACUUAUAGAUGACCUUGCGGUGCAUUAGUUAGUUGGUGGGGUAACGGCCUACCAAGACGAUGAUGCAUAGCCGACCUGCGAGGGUGAUCGGCCACAUUGGGACAGAGACACGGCCCAAACUCCUACGGGAGGCAGCAGUAGGGAAUCUUCCGCAAUGGGCGAAAGCCUGACGGAGCAAUGCCGCGUGAAUGAAGAAGGCCUUCGGGUCGUAAAACUCUGUUAUAAGAGAAGAACAAAUUGUAGAGUAACUGCUACAGUCUUGACGGUAUCUUAUCAGAAAGCCACGGCUACCUACGUGCCAGCCGCCGCCGUAA
rnacentral:rRNA from 1 species